rnacentral:lncRNA from 1 species
AUAUUCUCCGAUUUCUCUCUUCCAUCUAAGCUUUCAAGAAUCUCUCCUUUGUCCACCGCCGCACCAAUUUAGGAUUUUGGCGAUCCUCUCAUCUAUUCUCCGCUGGCGUCAGCUACCAUAUUUCGGUAAUAAUAAAGGUACAUUUUGUUAUCUAGUGACGUUCUGCAAUAUAAUUUUUAACUUCUCAUUUUGUGUUUUUUGUUGCUUCAUCUCUAUUUUCCUAAAUAUUUUAUUAACUGUGUGUGUGAUUUUAUUUUCAGAUUUUCUUGAUCUCCUUACUGCUGAAAAACCCAAAAAAUGUUAAAAAUGAAAAAGUACCAUUACAAGGGCAAUUGAAACGGAGGACAAGGUUAAAUAUUUGUCUC